rnacentral:rRNA from 1 species
AUAAUACUCCAUAGAUUAGAGACACUGGAAUGUUCUUUAGUCGAAAGUUCUGGCGCCUUAGGAUGGAUCUGCGGUCGAUUAGGUUGUUGUUGGGGUAACGGCCCAACAAGCCUGUAAUCGAUACGGGUUGUGGGAGCAAGAGCCCGGAGAUGGAAUCUGAGACACGAUUCCAGGCCCUACGGGGCGCAGCAGGCGCGAAAACUUUACAAUGCAGGAAACUGUGAUAAGGGAACUCCGAGUGCCCGUAUACGCGGGCUGUCCAGGUGUUUAAAAAUCAUCUGAAGAAAGGGCCGGGCAAGACCGGUGCCAGCCGCCGCGGUAAUACCGGCGGCUCGAGUGGUGGCCACUAUUAUUGGGCUUAAAGCGUCCGUAGCUGGACCGAUAAGUCUCUUGGGAAAUCCGCCGGCUCAACCGGCGGGCGUCUAAGGGAUACUGUUAGUCUAGGGACCGGGAGAGGUGAGAGGUACUCCGGGGGUAGGAGUGAAAUCCUGUAAUCCCCGGGGGACCGCCGAUGGCGAAGGCAUCUCACCAGAACGGCUCCGACAGUGAGGGACGAAAGCUGGGGGAGCGAACCGGAUUAGAUACCCGGGUAGUCCCAGCCGUAAACUAUGCGCGUUAGGUGU